AGUGAACGCUGGCGGUAGGCCUAACACAUGCAAGUCGAACGGCAGCACAGUAAGAGCUUGCUCUUACGGGUGGCGAGUGGAGGACGGGUGAGGAAUACAUCGGAACCUACUUUUUCGUGGGGGAUAACGUAGGGAAACUUACGCUAAUACCGCAUACGACCUACGGGUGAAAGCAGGGGAUCUUCGGACCUUGCGCGAUUGAAUGAGCCGAUGUCGGAUUAGCUAGUUGGCGGGGUAAAGGCCCACCAAGGCGACGAUCCGUAGCUGGUCUGAGAGGAUGAUCAGCCACACUGGAACUGAGACACGGUCCAGACUCCUACGGGAGGCAGCAGUGGGGAAUAUUGGACAAUGGGCGCAAGCCUGAUCCAGCCAUACCGCGUGGGUGAAGAAGGCCUUCGGGUUGUAAAGCCCUUUUGUUGGGAAAGAAAAGCAGCAGGUUAAUACCCCGCUGUUCUGACGGUACCCAAAGAAUAAGCACCGGCUAACUUCGUG
rnacentral:rRNA from 1 species